UGAUAUCAUUUGGAGCAUACAUCUGGUA
rnacentral:piRNA from 1 species